CCUGAGGGUCGGUCCCACCUUCUCCAGAUCUUAUAAGACCCGGGGAUGACUCUCCUCAACUGCAGUCUCAGACCCCAACAGCCCCAGCAGCUUACGCCUGACGCCUGCGCACUGAGCGCAGGCGGGCACUCCCAGGAACACCAGCGGCGCAGCGGUUGCGCGAGCGCGUUUUAGCCGCGGAGUCCAGGAACCUCGCGGAGGUUUAGAAACUGGGCAUCUCAGCGCCCUGGCCCGCCGGGCUACAACCUUCCGGGCGUUGGACUACAUUUCCCAGAGCCACCGCGUCACCAGUGCGGCUUCAUUUCCGUUUGUUCGCGCGAUUUGGGGACCUCGCGUGGGGAGGGCAGCGUCUGUGGAAGAGCUUGGCUCGGCUCCGGCUGGGCGGGCGAACCCCAAAUUGGGCUUGGACCCCGGGCGCCAGAUCCUGGAUCCUGAACCGCACCUUCUGUUGAGAGUCCAGAGAAGGAAGAAAUGGCUGUCGUACAUUCAAAAGCAAAGUCCAAGCUCUGCCUUUUCCAGACUCUGUGCUUCUCUAAGCUAGGAAUCCAGAGGAGGAUUGAUCAUUUCUUGCAGCGCUAAAAACCAUGGCUCAGGUAAAUUGGUGUUUUUUUGUG
rnacentral:lncRNA from 1 species